rnacentral:tRNA from 1 species
GAAAUCAUGGCUCAAUGGUAAGAGCGUUUAACUUCUAAUCAACAGGUCACGGGUUCGAGUCUCGGGCGGUUCA